rnacentral:ncRNA from 1 species
AAUAAAUUAGGUGCCUUUAAUAGGUGAAAAGGGAAUGAGAUAUUUUAAUUUAAAUUGCCUCAGCUGCCCCCGCAACUGUUAUUGACGAGAUAGUCCAAAAUACCACUGUAUAUAAUAAUGUAUGGGAAGGUUGGAUGAUUUAAGACUCAAGAAGCCAGGAGACCUGCCUAAUUAA